rnacentral:rRNA from 1 species
GUAGGUGGCAAGCGUUGUCCGGAAUUAUUGGGCGUAAAGCGCGCGCAGGUGGUUCUUUAAGUCUGAUGUGAAAGCCCCCGGCUCAACCGGGGAGGGUCAUUGGAAACUGGGGAACUUGAGUGCAGGAGAGGCAAGUGGAAUUCCACGUGUAGCGGUGAAAUGCGUAGAUAUGUGGAGGAACACCAGUGGCGAAGGCGACUUUCUGGCCUGUAACUGACACUGAGGCGCGAAAGCGUGGGGAGCAAACAGGGAUUAGAUACCCUGGUAGUCCACGCCGUAAACGAUGAGUGCUAAGUGUUGGGGGGGUUUCCCGCCCCUCAGUGCUGCAGCUAACGCAUUAAGCACUCCGCCUGGGGAUACGGUCGCAAGACUG